AGACCCGAAACCCGGUGAUCUAGCCAUGGGCAGGUUGAAGGUUGGGUAACACUAACUGGAGGACCGAACCGACUAAUGUUGAAAAAUUAGCGGAUGACCUGUGGCUGGGGGUGAAAGGCCAAUCAAACCGGGAGAUAGCUGGUUCUCCCCGAAAGCUAUUUAGGUAGCGCCUCGUGAAUUCAUCUCCGGGGGUAGAGCACUGUUUCGGCUAGGGGGCCAUCCCGGCUUACCAACCCGAUGCAAACUGCGAAUACCGGAGAAUGUUAUCACGGGAGACACACGGCGGGUGCUAACGUCCGUCGUGAAGAGGGAAACAACCCAGACCGCCAGCUAAGGUCCCAAAGUCAUGGUUAAGUGGGAAACGAUGUGGGAAGGCCCAGACAGCCAGGAUGUUGGCUUAGAAGCAGCCAUCAUUUAAAGAAAGCGUAAUAGCUCACUGGUCGAGUCGGCCUGCGCGGAAGAUGUAACGGGGCUAAACCAUGCACCGAAGCUGCGGCAGCGAACGUAUCACCCAAGACAACUUUGCGGAGUUGACGAUUGACGGAGCGAAGCGACGUCAAAGCGUUCAUUAAAGUCGAGUUGGCUUAGGGAUACGUUCGUUGGGUAGGGGAGCGUUCUGUAAGCCUGUGAAGGUGGCCUGUGAGGGUUGCUGGAGGUAUCAGAAGUGCGAAUGCUGACAUAAGUAACGAUAAAGCGGGUGAAAAGCCCGCUCGCCGGAAGACCAAGGGUUCCUGUCCAACGUUAAUCGGGGCAGGGUGAGUCGACC
rnacentral:rRNA from 1 species